rnacentral:rRNA from 1 species
GAUGAACGCUGGCGGCGUGCCUAAUACAUGCAAGUCGAGCGAACGGACGAGAAGCUUGCUUCUCUGAUGUUAGCGGCGGACGGGUGAGUAACACGUGGAUAACCUACCUAUAAGACUGGGAUAGCUUCGGGAAACCGGAGCUAAUACCGGAUAAUAUUUUGAACCGCAUGGUUCAAAAGUGAAAGACGGUCUUGCUGUCACUUAUAGAUGGAUCCGCGCUGCAUUAGCUAGUUGGUAAGGUAACGGCUUACCAAGGCAACGAUGCAUAGCCGACCUGAGAGGGUGAUCGGCCACACUGGAACUGAGACACGGUCCAGACUCCUACGGGAGGCAGCAGUAGGGAAUCUUCCGCAAUGGGCGAAAGCCUGACGGAGCAACGCCGCGUGAGUGAUGAAGGUCUUCGGAUCGUAAAACUCUGUUAUUAGGGAAGAACAUAUGUGUAAGUAACUGUGCACAUCUUGACGGUACCUAAUCAGAAAGCCACGGCUAACUACGUGCCAGCAGCCGCGGUAAUACGUAGGUGGCAAGCGUUAUCCGGAAUUAUUGGGCGUAAAGCGCGCGUAGGCGGUUUUUUAAGUCUGAUGUGAAAGCCCACGGCUCAACCGUGGAGGGUCAUUGGAAACUGGAAAACUUGAGUGCAGAAGAGGAAAGUGGAAUUCCAUGUGUAGCGGUGAAAUGCGCAGAGAUAUGGAGGAACACCAGUGGCGAAGGCGACUUUCUGGUCUGUAACUGACGCUGAUGUGCGAAAGCGUGGGGAUCAAACAGGAUUAGAUACCCUGGUAGUCCACGCCGUAAACGAUGAGUGCUAAGUGUUAGGGGGUUUCCGCCCCUUAGUGCUGCAGCUAACGCAUUAAGCACUCCGCCUGGGGAGUACGACCGCAAGGUUGAAACUCAAAGGAAUUGACGGGGACCCGCACAAGCGGUGGAGCAUGUGGUUUAAUUCGAAGCAACGCGAAGAACCUUACCAAAUCUUGACAUCCUUUGACAACUCUAGAGAUAGAGCUUUCCCCUUCGGGGGACAAAGUGACAGGUGGUGCAUGGUUGUCGUCAGCUCGUGUCGUGAGAUGUUGGGUUAAGUCCCGCAACGAGCGCAACCCUUAAGCUUAGUUGCCAUCACUAAGUUGGGCACUCUAAGUUGACUGCCGGUGACAAACCGGAGGAAGGUGGGGAUGACGUCAAAUCAUCAUGCCCCUUAUGAUUUGGGCUACACACGUGCUACAAUGGACAAUACAAAGGGCAGCGAAACCGCGAGGUCAAGCAAAUCCCAUAAAGUUGUUCUCAGUUCGGAUUGUAGUCUGCAACUCGACUACAUGAAGCUGGAAUCGCUAGUAAUCGUAGAUCAGCAUGCUACGGUGAAUACGUUCCUGGGUCU